rnacentral:tRNA from 1 species
GGGGAUAUAGCUCAGUUGGUAGAGCUCCGCUCUUGCGCGGAUGUCAGCGGUUCGAGUCCGCUUAUCUCCA